CGGGCUCUCCGUCGUGUCCCCUCCUGGCCGCCAGGAGGCGAUGACGUACAGCGGGCUAUAUAUACAAUCGAUCGGAAGCCUUCGUGGACAUUCGUUUCCUGUAUCCCGAGACCCGGACUCCGGCACCCCGAAAUGACGUUUCCACCAGAGGUCCCACGACCAAAGAUGGCCAAACUCUUCCAUGGAUGUCUGAGGGAGCCACUGAAAUGUGACUUUUCAAGUUUUACACUUGAAACUGGCAUCUUGCAUCCUGAGCCGGUUUGGUGAAUUUCCUGCGGCAUCCCGAGCCAGUUUGGUGAAUUUCCUGUGGCAUUGUGUGAGAAAGCAUCCCAAACCAGUUUGGUGAAUUUCCUGCGGCAUCCUGAGCCAGUUUGGUGGCCUUCCCUUGCCAAGAGCAACCUGAGCCAAUCGUGGCCGGCAAUUUGAACACCGCCUCUGUCGUCGUGAUGACGAUUCCUGCAGCUCGUCGUUCCCAGCAGGGGCGACUUCGUACCUCCUUGAAUGUCUGAGCGACAACUUUUGGGUGCUGAUACCUGGGGGUUUUUUUUUUUUUUUUUUUUUUUUUUCCUCCUCCA